CCUACGGGUGGCAGCAGUGAGGAAUAUUGGUCAAUGGGCGAGAGCCUGAACCAGCCAAGUCGCGUGAGGGAGUACUGCUCUAUGGGUUGUAAACCUCUUUUGUCGGGGAGCAAAAGCCGGACGUGUCCGGCUGUGAGAGUACCCGAAGAAACAGCAUCGGCUAACUCCGUGCCAGCAGCCGCGGUAAUACGGAGGAUGCGAGCGUUAUCCGGAGUUAUUGGGUUUAAAGGGUGCGAAGGGGGAUUUUUAAGUCAGCGGUCAAAUCGUGGGGCUAAACCCCAUCCAGCCGUUGAAACUGGGGAUCUAGAGUGUGCGAGGGGUAGGCGGAAUGCGUGGUGGAGCGGUGAAAUGCAUAGAUAUCACGCAGAACACCGAUUGCGAAGGCAGCAUACCGGUGCACAACUGACGCUGAGGCACGAAAGCGUGGGGAUCGAACAGGAUUAGAUACCCUAGUAGUC
rnacentral:rRNA from 1 species